CCUAAACAAUGUCACAUAUGCAAAAAUGGUCCCCACCAGGUACGAGACAUUCCACCUGUCUCAAGCCUCAUCCUUCUCCCCGUGUUCCUCUCGCGGCCUCGGCACGCGCCGCCUACCUCAUCACCCAGAUGCGCUCCCUCUCCGUCGAGCUCCAUCGCUGGAGGCAAGGAGGCGACACAUCUAGCCACAACGGCGAUCUGGCACGGGCGUCGAACCUGAAGCGCGGCACCACGGCCGGUCUCUUCAAAUCGAGAGAGAAGAUGCGGUAGCAAUAAAUGCAUAUGCCUCAACAUUUGCGCUAAUAAUUCACUCAAAUACGUGGAUAAAUGAAGAUAGCAACUAGAAUUUGCAGAAAUCCAGAAGAAUUCUGGAUACAUCAUGAGCUCCAAUACUGCAUUGUUAAACCUUAAAUGAUUCUGUUUUGUAGAAACUUGCAUUCUGUUUGGCAACUUGUGAAUCUUCCACCUAGCUAUAGCUUGAUUGUUGAGAUUCUAUUUAAGUUUUGAGUCCUUGAAGUUGUAACCCUG